AUUGAACGCUGGCGGCACGCCUAACACAUGCAAGUCGAGCGGCAGCGAGACUAGUAGCAAUACUAGUUGUCGGCGAGCGGCGGACGGGUGAGUAACACGUAGGAAUCUGCCCUUAAGCGGGGGAUAACCAAGGGAAACUUUGGCUAAUACCGCAUAAUCUCGAGAGAGCAAAGCUGCCCGCAAGGGUGGCACUUGAGGAGGAGCCUGCGUCCGGUUAGCUAGUUGGUGGGGUAAUGGCCUACCAAGGCGAUGAUCGGUAACUGGUCUGAGAGGACGACCGGUCACACUGGGACUGAGCCACGGCCCAGACUCCUACGGGAGGCAGCAGUGGGGAAUAUUGGACAAUGGGGGCAACCCUGAUCCAGCGAUGCCGCGUGAGUGAAGAAGGCCUUCGGGUCGUAAAGCUCUUUAGGUUGGGAAGAAGGGUAUUGGCUGAAUAAUCCAGUACUUUGACGGUACCGACAGAAUAAGCACCGGCAAACUCUGUGCCAGCAGCCGCGGUAAUAC
rnacentral:rRNA from 1 species